rnacentral:rRNA from 1 species
UGGGGAAUAUUGCACAAUGGGCGAAAGCCUGAUGCAGCGACGCCGCGUGAACGAAGAAGUAUUUCGGUAUGUAAAGUUCUAUCAGCAGGGAAGAAGAAAUGACGGUACCUGACUAAGAAGCUCCGGCUAAAUACGUGCCAGCAGCCGCGGUAAAACGUAGGGUGCAAGCGUUGUCCGGAAUUACUGGGUGUAAAGGGAGCGCAGGCGGACCGGCAAGUUGGAAGUGAAAACCAUGGGCUCAACCCAUGAAUUGCUUUCAAAACUGCUGGCCUUGAGUAGUGCAGAGGUAGGCGGAAUUCCCGGUGUAGCGGUGGAAUGCGUAGAUAUCGGGAGGAACACCAGUGGCGAAGGCGGCCUACUGGGCACCAACUGACGCUGAGG